UGAUGACACCGGACUCAGCUGCUGCUGGUUGUUCCGCUGUAAGAGUACUAGGUACCAAUGGUACCGACACUGAAUGUUUUGCUUCAUAUUGUCAAGAACAUUUAGGCUAACUGUUAGCAUCACGAUGAUUUAAGUUUUGCCUUAUGAUUGGACAUUGUUUGGCUACAUUUUGCUCAUUUCUGGCUAACUUUAGCCUCAGCUACGUUUGGCUAACUUCUAGCAAACUCAUAUUUAAUUUUGUUUUCGUCUCUCUCUCGUCAAGAUCCAUGGUCCCCGUGUUGAUAAACCACCAGCAUCAGUGUGAACAACUAUCAAAAACAAAACUCCCAUUUGGAGAAGUGUCUCCUCUACAACUGGCUGCAGUCAGCAAGAUGAACCAAUCAGGAGUGGAGUUUGGCUGUGACUCCGCCCACCUACAGUUGGCCGUGAUGACGUCACACAUUCAGACGAGAAGUGAAGACAGAGUUUGAAGACCAGACCAGUGAAGUCAGUGAAGGACUCCUCCAAUGGACAACAUGGACAGGAGACCCUCGUGGACCAGACCUCGUCACCGGUUUGAUCCGUCAGCCCGGAGGUCCCUGUGGGCUGCAGCCAACACGACAGGCCUCCUCCACCUCCUGCCUCCCGGUGCCUUGUGGGUAGGAUGGUGUCACCGCCGAGGCGCAAAGUCAAUUGUGAGGUUACAGCGAAAAAACGGAGCAGCAUUUGUUCUCAUCAGCUACGAAAACACGUCGCGCUUGGUUUGGCCGACGGUAUCGUGCAGAAACACUCCUCGGCUUCUCCGGGUGAAGAAGGUUCGAUGGUUGAGACUUGAUUAGAGCCUCGGCAGGAUGUGUUAAGACAAAAGGACGGGGACGAUCUGAGCUGAGACGACGGUCCCUGGUUCAGUUGUUCCAGGUCUGGUCUGAUGAGAGGGGGUUCAUUGUUGUUGUUGUUGUUGUUGUUGUUGUUGUUGUAGCCCUUUUGUGUGUUAGCUAAUCACAGUAUUUUUGAUUUUCUCUGUGCUGCCCUACAUCUGGACUGUCAGGCUUGAACCUUCCUUUGUUGUCCACUAGGGGAUUAAGAAAAUAUAGAUAGUUCCUUUCCUGAUACCGUAUCAAUGGGAAGAGCUAUUAUUAAAUCAUUGAGAAUAUUAAUUAUAGUUGAAACUGCUAACGAUGAGUAAAGGUCACAGGUAUCGCUAAAGAUUAGAGGAAAAAUAAACAAACGUUGGUCUAAACCUGAAGGCAUUAAUGUUAAUGAUACGGAUUUAAAAAAUAAAGCUGGAAAGAGAAAAAUCAUAUAUUUAUAUACAGUAUAUAUAUAUAUGUAUCUAUAUUUAUAUGACAUCUAGCAGAAGAAUUAUGAGUGUAAAUAAAGUAGACUUGCUGAUGUGGCGCCUCCUGCUGCGUGUUCAUGACACUGUUAUUUUUCCUCAUUUAAAUCAAACAAAGUGACGGUUUCUCCUCUCAGUGGGAGAAGUGACUUUCAGAUUUUUAGACAGACUGUUGUGUUGAACUCAGCCGCGGUUUUGUUCCUCUGCUCCAUCUUUUAGUACUUGUUUUUUUUUGUCUUUUCUUUCUCCUCGUCCCAUUAAUUCCUGCGAGGCUUUGCUGGAUUCUCCCCUAAUGAGGACAAUUAACCUGGAAUCAGAGUGAAUAUUAAACGGUGGAAUCAUGGCUGCCAUCAGCCCCGAGACGAGUCGGCUAAUGGAGUUGAUUGUUAUUAAUUUUGACAUUAACGUUCCAAUUAAAGAUAGAAAAACACUGAUUUCAUUUUCCUCUCGUUUCCUUCCGUCCCAUCCACGCGGUGAGAUUAAGAGGGCAUCGAUCACACCUGAGUGACUCACAACCAGGUCGCUAAUUAAAGACUCAGAUCCCAAUUAAGAUAAUGAGAUCGUCGGAGGUUUCUGGGAGGAACACAAACAAUAUUUCAAACCUGUCAGUCACAGACACUGUGGGUUUAACCCUCUCUGCUGACUGGGCUUCAUGAUGUGGCCCACACAUGUAGACAUAAUAUAGUUAAGAAACUUAAGUUAAGACAGAAAGGAGUCCAGACGUCAAUAUACUGUUUUAUAUAUUAUAUAAUAAGGUGGUUGUUUUUUUCUGUAUAUCAUCUGUAUGUCCGUUCCUCAGAUUCCAUCUGCCAUUGUUUCAGUACAGCCAGACCAUGUGACCAUGUGACCAUGUGACUGACUGUGGACAACUGUGGCUGUCACACAAUGUUCUCAUGUGUGAGUGU